rnacentral:rRNA from 1 species
UACGGAGGGUGCGAGCGUUGUCCGGAAUCAUUGGGCGUAAAGGGCGCGUAGGUGGCCCGGUCAGUUCGUGGUGAAAGCGCGGGGCUCAACUCCGCGUCGGCCAUGAAUACUGCUGGGCUUGAGCACUGUAGAGGCUCGCGGAAUUCCCAGUGUAGAGGUGAAAUUCGUAGAUAUUGGGAAGAACACCGGUGGCGAAGGCGGCGAGCUGGUCCAUUACUGACGCUGAGGCGCGACAGCGUGGGGAGCAAACAGG